GCUCCCGCGUCUUAACGUAGCAUCGUUAGCUUUAACGUAAGUAGCUGUUUGUGUAGUUUAAUACACUUUAGCUACUUUAAUACCCACAGAGUGUCUCAAUUAGAUUUGUAUAAAUGAAGCUAACACUUGUUAGUCGUUGUUUCAUUUCCAGUGCUGGCUACAUAGCUAGCUGUGCCUUUCACUUGGUAUUUCAUCCCCAAUAUAAAGUGUCAUAUCAUCUCAUGUUAGCUAACUGUGGAGCUCUGGCUGUGCUGUGAGACAGAGCGAAGCCUCGUUUUGACAUGACUCUGUGUGAUGUCUGGGGUGAAGAUCAUGGCUGACAGGGAGGAAAGCCCAGGAGAGGUCAGCUUUUAAAGCGCACACGAAUGAGGCAGGCUGUAAGUGUUCUGUAAAAAAAUGAAAAUAAGAAUAUCUUCAUUUCCAUGACAACGGGACACUCAACAUAUUCUGAUGACGAUCAUGUGAUGUGGACCACCAAAUGGAACGUCAGGGGAGAUAUUUUUCUUUCCAAGCAGGUUGAACUGUGGCAGUGAGAUGAGGAGUGAAUAGGAAAGGAGAAAGAAACUGGAGUGCAACUGAGUCUUCAGCUGUUCUCGAGAUUCUUCAGCUCUAAAACAAUCUCGCAGACUACAGGAGAUGUUUUAUCGCUCCGCUCUCGUCUCACUGGAGAGGCGGCAUCAAGGCCGGGCGUGCAAUCAGGAUUAACAGACUGUUUAAAAGGUUGGCUCUGUUGUGGGUCUACGCCUGGACACCCUGGAGGCAGCGUCAGUGAAUGAGCACUAAUCUGAACUCUAUCUGAGACAACAACCCUCAUCACCUGCAUAUUGAGCUGAUUCAGCUGCACAGCAUCCUCAGUUUCUGCUCCAGCUCCUGCGGUUCAGCAGCUUCAGGAGCCGUUUAGUCACCAUCACAGUACACGAGGCUCCGUCUGCAGCAGAUGAAAUCACAAACUCUGCAGUACCAGGAAGGAAACCAGACACGUGAUAAAAACACUGAAGCACCUUUGGGUCGUCUAACAGUUUUUCUGGACGUCGGUGGGAGAAGGCCUCAGAUCAGAGGAUGUGAACUGCCAUGUGUGAACUGUUCAGUGGGUGAUCCAGAGUUCGCUGAUGCUGAUGGAUAUCCAACAGACUGAACAUCCGCCAGGUCGUGGAGCCAUGAAUGAGAGAUGAGUUCCUCCACCAGGCUCUCAGCAAAGAGGAAACGUAAACACAGUCGACCUGGACGGUCUGAUGAGGACGAGUUGUUCAGGUUGUUCACUCUUUGCUAGUGUUAGUAGAAGACCACUGGAUUAAAACACCAGAUUCUGUUGCAGUAAACAUGACGGGAAAACGUUUGCCUGUAUCCUUAAAAAUAUCCAGCGGCUUCAUGCUAGUAAAUGUUGAAACACAGUCUUGAACGGUGGUCUCUGGCUUGGCAGCUUUGUCUCCCAGCCGUCACAUCACGGUCACUCCCUCCAUCUCCUGACAGGAACGUCAGCUCAGAGACAAGAAAUGUGCAGUUAUAUUACACGUACUGUGGAAACGUUGAUAGAAACAAACACAAGUGAAAACAGUUCCUGUAUUCAGAUACUUUGAAGGAAGUCCGAAAUGUGAAUCAUCAGCAGCAUAUAGAAAGGUAACUAAGUACACAGUAUAAUGUAGAUCCAGUGUUAGUACAGCUCACAUGCAGGAGGACGGGAGGAACGAGGAGAGUGAGAGGUGAGAUCGGAGGCGGAGAGGGAGGUAAGAUAAAGGACGAGAUGAAGAAAAACUGUGUCGGAAAGAAAGACUGGAGGCAACAGAACAAAGAGGAAACAAGAGACAAUCUGAAAAACAAGAAACACAUAAAGAAAGCGAAUGAUUUAAAACGACCAGGAGGGAUAUUUAUGUAAAAAUGAGAUUCACUUAAAAACCACAGAGACGACGUCGAGGCCGACGGGACGACUGAAGGUAAUCAGAGAGAAAAAUGCAAAAAGGUGAAGUUGACGCCGGAGGAAACAAACGAGGAGGUGGAGGAUUCUGAAUCGCUGAAACAAGAGGAGACGCCUUCAAUACACGGUGUUAAUAUUACAGUAAUUAUGUUGACAUGUUUAUUAAUUGCUGGUUGGAUGUUUCUGACAGACUCAGAUCUCAUUUCAAACAUGGUUUCAUGUUCAUAUCGACGUCUCCCUGCAGCUCAGCUGAGUUUUGAAGAAUCGGAGUUGAGUUUACGUCAAGUUCUCACAGUUCAUCCUGACGGGAGCACGAGUGUGCACCACAUCUCCUGUCAGUCCACGAGAUAAGUGCUGAAACGUUUCACUCACAACCUCAGCAGGAGCGAUCGGCUGGAAACCGUUAAUGUCUGUCGAAGAUGUUGUAGCAGUUCGUUCAGUAGAUGUUGAGAUAUUUCACUGAAUAAAUGUGAGCUUCAGCCUCCUGGUGGCGCCGAUGAGACAUCAUGACGAGGUCAGUCGUCUCGUCAGUGAAGAAACUAAUUGAAUGAUUGUUUGCAGGUGUUUGUUUCUCCCGUAACGUUCGAUUUCUCAGUAUGUUGAGUCACAGAUUGGCAGACAGGUAGAUGCCCUAAAAUGUAAAUGUCAAACCGUCUGGGGGGAAACAUGGCCGCAGCCGAUAGAGUGUAUCACUUUGGCAGCAGGUUUUCUAUCCUCUGGUGGCAGGGAAAUACAUUUGGAUUCAAAUUUAUGAGAGUGAGAGGAGGAGAACGAAGCAGGAUUGAGACAAAUAGAUUUAUAGACGUAGCAGAGACGUUCAGCAAAUGUGUGAUUCAGCCCAUGCUGACAUUCAAACACUGAGAAAUGAGAGCUACAGAAGUAGAGGUGAGGGCCGCGUGAUGAGCACGAGCAGGGAAACAUGUCGAGAGCUCCGUAACUUAAUGAAACAAUUUGUGUGAUUCUGUGAAGCGAGUCUUAUCCUCCGGGUUGUGUUUUCUGUCAGCCCGUCGUUACAUUAGCACUGCUGUCUUUACAUAUUUAGCAUCCAGCACCCUCAGCAGGAUGUGAAGUGGUGAGAGCGAGCGAGUGAUUCAUACUUGAAAGAGCCGAGAUCAUCAAAGUUUUCUUCUUUUUUUUUUAUACAGUCUUACGUUGCCUGCAGGCAUCUGCAGGUGUGUGAGAACUGUCGAGAUCUGCCGUGAUGUGAAUCCUCUGUGAAUCUGACACAACUGUAAGUGAUGAAGAAGGAGUUCAGGAGCAGUUCUGUGCUCUGGUUCACUGUAGAGAAAGAAGACUCAUCGUCUCAGCUGUGCUGAGAGGAUGUGACGACUUUCUGUUUCUUACAGCUUAUUUUCACUUCACACAGUAUCAGCGUAUUGGUGCCGCUGAACGCAGGACAUGAGAGAAGGAUGUUUGGAGCAGGUGAGAUUUAUUCAGCACCGUCCUGUCACAGUCAAGCUUUAGGGCACAAAUGACAGAAAUCAACAGAGGUGUGUGUUCACCUCUGUUCUGUGUGAGCAAAGGGGCAAAUGAAACAUUUGCAUUAUUUGUGUUGCUGGUGAACUUUCACCUGUGAAGUCCGUGACUGUGUUUGACCCCUCAGACGAGCUGCAGCUCAUAUCCUGCUCUGCCCACUUUAUACACCGCCAGGCAACAUUCACCUGCAUGUGCAUACGUGUCACUGUGUGUUUAAGCAGUGUUAGUCCUGACACACAUGAUUUCAUCUUGUUUGUCCGAGGGAGCCCAGAGUAGAGCUGCUGCUCCUCAGGCUGAGGGCUGAUUAUGCGUCCUGGCUGCCUCCAUUUGGAGGGUUUCGGGGUUCUGCUACCUGGGAGGAGACCCGGGCGGAGCCAGAAGUCACUGGAGGGAUUUCACCUCUCAUCUGGCCUGGGAACGCCUCCAGAUCCCGGAGGAGCAGCCGGGAUGUAUCGCUGAAGAGAGAGAUGUCUGGAAUACCCAAGUGACCACGACCCGACCCGACCCGACCCGACCCGACCCGGUUCAGCAGAAGAAGAUGAGGGAUUCACUUUAUACAAGGAACAAACAGACAGAACAAACAUGGCAGCUCACCUGUUUCACUCCUGUUGUAUGUUACCUGUAAAGUUUCUUGAUUGCAUCUUGCACAGCGGUGACUUGAUCACACCGACAGCAUCUAUCCAGCAUCUAAACACUCCUGUGGUCGCUCCUCCUGCACUUCAAGAGGCUCAUCCAGCUGCUCAGCAUGAGGAGCCGUUUGGAGCACAGAUCAGUCAGCAGAGCCGAGUCGUGAAGGCUUGUGAUCCGGAUGACGUGGCAGAAUUUGUUCCGAGUGUUCAGCGCGCUCGUCAGGACUCUGACCUCAGCACCGACCUCAGCAGAGGGAGGACAUGGAGUCGGUGUCUCUGCUGUGGUAUGAUCGACUCCAUCACACCUCUGCUUGUCCUCAGCCGUUGUGUGGAGGAGUUUAAUAGACGUGAUGUCUCUGCUCUCGCUGGUCAGUCUGACAGCUGUGGAGUAACUUCUCGAUUCCACCGAGCACGAAACUGUAAGCUGCCGUGUGCGACUUGUUGUUGACCUGAUGCUGCUGACUUGUUCAGAUGUGUUCAUCAGUCGUUCCUUGAUUUUGUGCUUCUGCUGUGGUUGACCAGCUUACAUAGUUCCAUCUUUUUUUUCUGUUUUUAGUGUGUUAGUUAGUUAAUAUUUCCAGUUUUGUUCUGCUGUGGAGUCUGACGUGGCACGUUGUUUUAAUUUGAGCCGCCUGACUUCCUGUUAAAGCAAAGCUCCCUCCAAAAUGCAACCAAGGCUUUUUUUGUGAAUGGACCCGAAUCAAACUGUCCUCCAGGUUACGUCUCAUUCUGAGGUCGACUCUUCUCCACUGGCAGGACGGCGGCGAGCGGAACAAGCUGCU